rnacentral:tRNA from 1 species
AAUACAAUAUCUAGUAUUAUUAGAAGCCCCCUCCUAAGGGGCAGGUUGCAGGUUCGAAUCCUGCCGGGGUUGCCA